UCUAUACUCCGAGAUCUAGGUUAGCGUGGUGGGGAAGUUGCAAGUUCCCUAAUGCGGUUUGAAUCGUUUGCUGGCUACCCACGUGUUAGGAUCGAACCCCGUGUUCAGACUGUAGGUGGUAGAGAGCGGUGUUCCGGCGGAGGGACUCGGGCCCUGGGGCUGUUGAAUUCAGAACAGGCUGAAAAUGGAAUUGAUUUGCUGGGAGGAAACAAUUGCUUUGGACCAGUGCCAUGUUCCAGAUAUGGGGAGCCAUGAGCUGAUGGUGAAGAGGCUGGAGACUGAAUCCCCAACCCCACAAAACGAUUGGGGCUGAAGAGGACAAAUGAAGUAACUGAAUCUUGAAAAUGGGCUGAAAUGAAACAUUCUGGACCUGGAGCACACAGGACAGUAAGGGGUAAGAGUCUCCUGCUGAGUAGGGCCUUAAAGAAAAGGGACUGAGUGGUUUUACAGCCUACAUGAGCUGAGUUAAGGAUAAUCAGCUCCUAUGCUUUCAGGGCUUGCUCUGAUCUCUGUGAGGGGUAGUGGGGAGUAGUCAGAGGUGUGUUGCUGGAGGUAUAGGGUGACCAGAUGUCCCGAUUUUUAGGGACAGUCAUGAUUUUUGGGUCUUUUUCUUAUAGAGGCUCCUAUUACCUCCCCACCCCCUGUCCUGAUUUUUCACACUUGCUGUCUGGUCACCCUAUGGAGGCAGGAUGCUUGACUUGAUGGGCCCAUCCACUGUUUUAUUAGUAGUUAUAUUACACUGUUGCCUAGAGGCCUUACUGUGCUGGAGGUUGUAGAGUCACUUAAAGAGACCAUCCCUGUCCCAAAGAUAUUUUGUUGGCUUUGUCUGCUUAGGUUAUAAAGGAUGGAAGACAGGAAGUAUCAGCAUUACAGAUGAGGAGAGCUGAAGGCUGAGAUUUUUCAAAGGAGCCCAGUGGAGUUAGGCACCCAAACCAGAGAUUUUAAAGGAUUUAUUUGAGGUCACCCAGGGAGCCUGUGGCAGAGCUGAAAACUGAGCCCAGAUGUCCCAGUCCAGAGCCUUAACCACACAACUAUCUUGAGGAUGGGUGUUGAUUGGAGACCCGGCCCACAAGACAUUUCUUCUCAGACCCAUGAGACCCUUCUGUGCUUUGUCACUGGUAGUGUCACAGCUGGGUCUGAGGGCAUGGGUAGAGUCUGCCAUGAGUAUAUUCAAUCCAUCUUUCACCUGAUGACAUGUGCCCUGAGCAGACCCCACUGCAUUGCGGAUGGAGAAACGCAUUCACUCCCUCUCCCAUUUUGAGCCUGCAAUGAAAUCUAGUAGAUGUAGUUAAGGUUUAACGCCUGGAGGAACCAUUAUAACUAGAUAGACUGACUCCCUGCAUCGUAGGGAACAUAGAAAGUCACAGAGCAAUCCCCACUAUGACUCCCUGACUCCUUCCCAUUUCUAAAACUCAACCAUUAUCCCCCCUAUCCCUGGAUGCUGCUUUUAAAUAGUUCCCUGCACUAGCCUUUCUCACCUCACUGCGUCUCCAGGUAACUUCACUGUGCCAUUUCCCUGGCUGGAACUGCUGUGCUCUUAGAAGCUGCCCGUAUGGCCUUAUUGAAAAGCCAGAUCUUUAUAGGCCAGACAAAACUGUUAGAUUGCCUAGUCUGAGCUCUAGUUUAAAUACAGUUUAUCAGCCGGAGAACUUCACCUAGCGAUCCCGCUGAUUGUAUUUGAGUAACACAUCCCUCCUAGAAAGGCAUCCGUCUCUAAUUUUUCAGCGUCCUUAUUAAAAUUUGGACACCAGAACUGGAUGCGAUAAUCCAGUAUCAGACUCACCAGUGCCAUAUACAUGGGUGAAAUCACCUCCCUGCUUCUACUGGCUAGUACCUGUUUAUGCAUGUGGGGAUUUUAUCUGUCAUCUUUUUGCAGGUGGAGUUGGGAAGCUCGGGAGCCCAUGUUGGAACAUGAGGCAGUUGGAUGAGCAAGCAGCUAAAAUUCUCAGUCACUUGAGGUUUCAGAGUCCUGGUUGGUGGUUUGUGUGUGGGAGGGGCAGCCACAUUGCCACUUGUAGGACUUGGAAGGGUCUGCUGUGAUGAACUGCAUGUUCAGUCCGUGUUUCACCUGAUCUACCCUGAUUACACACAUGCCCUAAGCAGACUAAUGAAACAAACAUCUGUAGCUGAGGUCUGACUUGGGGGAAAGCUGAUGUUCUAAUGGUCUCCAAUGCAACCAUAAAUCCCAGACAGUGAGGAGAAUAAGUAGCAGAUCCAUGCAAACUCUUCAGAAACUUGGUUCUGGUUUUUGUGCAAAUGAAAAGAGUAUAGAUGCAAGGAAAGGUUUUUCAUGUAGUUGAUAGCUUUUUUUUUUUUUUCCUUCCCGUCUUUCUCUCUCUCUCUCUCCAUUAACUUGGAAAUAUUUCCUCCUUGUAUCUAUAGGGGCAGGAACUCUAAAAACAAAAUUGGAUGGUUUCUCCUCACUCCUCACCCUGGAUCCCUUAUAGGAAUCACAGAUGGAUGAUUUUGAGAUGAGCCUUCAAGGAAAAUGUAUCUUUCUCUCCACUGAUGUCAACUGUAAGAGAGAAUUUGGGCCCUGAAGAUUAAAAGUUUUGGCCUGUCUCUGAUCUGUAUUACAAGGACUCUUCAAAGUUAUGUCUAGGAAAGUCUGUACUAAAAACAGGAUUAAACUAGAAUGGAUGUGUAAAAGUUGGGUAUUUUUUGUAAAAACGUUCAGUAGUAGAGGAAGAAAUGGAGCUUUCUCAACUGUAAUCCACUGGUCUGAAUUCAGCCCAGGUCAGUAGUGGUUGUGGUUGGGAUUUUCACAGGAGACUUAAGGGCUUUAGAUGGCAUGCUGCUUUAGGCGCUUUUUGAAAAUCCCAGAUAUUUUUAAAGCUCUUAGUCACUGUAAUAUCUGUGGACUUGUACAAAAUUGAGGCUACGGAUAGUUAAUCAACAUUGGUCUAUUUAUAUUGCUGGGUCCAAAAUUACUUUCCACUCUUCUGUGAAUUUACUUUCAUGUGUCCACUGUCUGUCUUGUACUACCAACACCAUUUAGAUUAGGCUGAGAUUUUCAAAUGUGCGCAGGAUUUGGACACUCAGUUCCCAUUAAAAAAAUUAAUGGGAAUUUAACAGGCAUAUGCCAUAGACUUGAAAAUCCUUAACCUAAAUGUAUUUAAAUUAUGUCUCCCUCAGUCGCCUGACACCAGCGCAGACCCUUAUUUCAUGCUCCUAAUGUUGUCAUCCUCUCUAAUCCUUUUUUCUCUCCACCCCAAAUAUGUAGAUCCUUUCCCACUGAGUGGGCAGCCACCACUGCACAUCACCUACAUAUUACAGCUCUUGUGUUGAACACCAGGGAGGCAGUGAGAGAGAUGGAGCUGAGCACUAGGGCUGAGUGAACUGACUUCAGCAAUGUGUGGUUUUGAGUUUAGACAUCCUGGGUUACAUGGAAGUCAGGAAAAAAUCUCAAUGUCAUGAGCAGAGAUGCCAAGCUGGACCCUCAAAACCAGGGCCAUCCCAGAAAACAUGGGCCAUUUGGUCAUCAAGAGUUUUAACGAGUUUGUAGGGAUUCAGCUGAACAUAAAAAAACAAGCAUUUCCCCAAAACCAUGUUUUUAAAGCAGGAUGAAUCUAAGAAUUUUGUAAUUAUCCUAUCUGUCAAUCAUUUGGAACUCCUCCUUAUGCAGAACUUGCAGUUUUAUUCUUUUAAUGUGAUUGCCUUUUUACUGUGUGUGACAGUCUCACUCAAUUUGAUAGCAUUUCUGUGUAUUUGUCUGUACAUGUGUAAUGUGAUCACUUUUCAACACUAUGCACUCCUUUCCAGUUUUUUCAGGGAAUGUUUGAGGUGCUGAGGGCCAAGAAUCUAUUGAUUUUGGAGAAAAUUGGAAAACUGAAGGGGAAAGUGGAGAGGGAGAGAGAGCUGGAUGGAUACACAGAGCCCCUGCUAGCUGUGUAGCACAACUGCAGAGUCAGGCAACUCUGCAAUUAACUAUAGACUCAAGAACUGGUUAAUGGCAGCCAUUAACCCCUUUUCCCCCAUAACAAUGCCCCUAUCUAAUGUGUGUGUCCUACUGUCAUAAACAGAUAGCUAAAGGUUAAUGUCUCUUUCACCUGUAAAGGGUUAACAAACAGUGACCUGCAACACCUGACCAGAGGACCAAUCAGGAAACAAAAUACUUUCAAAUCUGGGCGGAGGGAAGCCUUUGUUUGUUUUCUUGAGUUUGUGUGUUCUCUCUGGGUCCUGGACGGGACUAGAGGUGCAACCAGGUUUUUGCCAAUCUCCCUGCAACGGUCUCUUAUCUACUCAGAAUUGUGAAUAAGAAAAAAGGCGGUUAUAGUCUUUUAAUUUGUUUUUCUUUUUUGCAUAUGCGUACUUGCUGGAAGUAGCUUAAAUUGUGUUUCUGCUGGAGAAAGUUUCUUUCUAUUGUUUAUAAGUUGAAAGACCCUGUAACUUUUUACCAUCUCAAUUGCAGAGAUAAACCUUUUACUUUUUUCUUUCUUUUUUUUUAUUAAAGGUUUUGCUUUAA